AAGUAAAAUGUAAUUUAGAAAAGUAAAGUAUUUAUUUUAGAAUUUAUAAAAACAGAAAAAAAAAUGGUACAGUGGUCAAACAAUAGACAUGGAAGCAAAAACCUUUGGAUUAUUUUAGGGUUUUCUUAAGACAUAUUAAUUACACAUAACAACGUAUUUCAAAGGACAGUUCUUGAAUGUAUAGUGUAUUUUGGUCAUACUUAGGCCCAUAGCCCUUCCCACCCCCUCCACUCUGCUGACCCCUGCUGCUCCCCAGCUAGAUCUCCUGCACCCUCCUGUCUUUGGUCUUCAAGGCCCUGGGGCCAGCCUGCCAGUGAGCAUGCUCUCCCACCUUUCCACUCAAGGCACUCAAGCUGUGACCUUGGGGAAAUGAUAGACCAUCCCUGCCCCUCCUUGCCACAUCAGUAAAUUGGGGAUCAUAGUUCCUGUUUGGGAGGUAGCAUGAUGGCAAGAUGAGAGAGUCACGUGUGAAGGCCUUUGCGGCUUCUCAGCAUAUGGCACCCUUGAAGGAGUCUCCUAUCUCAAAGGGAAAAACCCCAACGGCUGCGUUAAAUCUGUCAGCACCUGGGAAGUUAAACAGUGACGAGACCAGGUGGACCUGCUGUUUGCUUGUUCUUUGGACUUUGCCGUCUCAAUUAAAAAUUGUAACUCUGUAGUUGAAGCAGGGUCUCACUAUGCAGGCCAGGCUCGUCUCUAACUUGAGGCUGACCUCCUGCCUCUGGUUUAGAGUUCUUUGUUCCUGCAGGAUGUCAGGUUGUCUGACUGCCAUGCCGUGUGUAAACAGCACAGGGCAGGGCUGCUGUUUCUCCCCCUCUCGUCCUAGCACUGCCCGUGGACCAGCAUUGCCCGUGGACCAGCAUUGCCCGUGGACCAGCAUUGCCCAGAGAGUAAAUCCUCUCGUCCUAGCUCUGCGCGUGGACCAGCAUUGCCCGUGGACCAGCAUUGCCCCGAGAGUAAAUCCCCUCGUCCCAGCACUGCCCGUGGACCAGCAUUGCCCCGAGAGUAAACCCUCUCGUCCCAGCACUGCGCGUGGACCAGCAUUGCCCGUGGACCAGCAUUGCCCCGCGAUUUGUCACAGUGACCAAAAAUGACUGACAUAAUCUAAGACUGCAAAGUCAAACACCGGAGGCCACGGUCUCUGAAGUGCCUUCCCUCCCUUGAGUUUGACUCUGGUGCGGUGUCUAGGCCCCGACCAGCCCCUGCCUUCCUGGAAUUUAUUCUGCUGGGCUUCUAGCAACAGGACUGCCUGGGAAGACUUGAGAUUGACACCCAGACCCACAGUUCUCACACCCCCUCCACAACCCCCCUUCACAAGUGAGAAGAGCACAGUGAGGUAUCUGGGGCAAAUGUGAGUCAUCUCCUUCAGGGAGGGGGCGGAG